UACGGGGGGGGCAAGCGUUGUUCGGAAUUACUGGGCGUAAAGAGCGUGUAGGCGGCCAAGUAAGUCUGCUGUGAAAACUCGAGGCUUAACCUCGAGCUGUCGGCGGAAACUAUUUGGCUAGAGUCCGGAAGAGGAGAAUGGAAUUCCCGGUGUAGCGGUGAAAUGCGCAGAUAUCGGGAAGAACACCCGUGGCGAAGGCGGCUCUCUGGGACGGUACUGACGCUGAGACGCGAAAGCGUGGGGAGCGAACAGG
rnacentral:rRNA from 1 species